rnacentral:rRNA from 1 species
UUUCAGUAGUUUACUACAGAAAAUGACUGAGCGGCGAACGGGUGAGUAACGCGUGAGCAACCUACCUUAGUUACUGGGAUAGCCCGAGGAAACUCGGAUUAAUACCGGAUAUUCUUAUUUAAUCACAUGAUUUUUUAAGGAAAGGUCAGCCGAACUAAGAUGGGCUCGCGUUCUAUCAGCUAGUUGGUAGGGUAAUGGCCUACCAAGGCUACGACGGAUAGCUGGUCUGAGAGGACGAUCAGCCACACUGGGACUGAGACACGGCCCAGACUCCUACGGGAGGCUGCAGCAGGGAAUAUUGCGCAAUGAGCGAAAGCUUGACGCAGCGACACCGCGUGUGGGAUGACGGAUCUAGGUUUGUAAACCACUUUCAGGAGGGAAGAAAAUGACGGUACCUCCACAAGAAGCCCCGGCCAACUACGUGCCAGCAGCCGCGGUAAUACGUAGGGGGCGAGCGUUGUCCGGAUUUAUUGGGCGUAAAGAGCUCGUAGGCGGUUCAACAAGUCGGUCGUGAAAGUUCAGGGCUCAACCCUGAAAUGUCGAUCGAUACUGUUGUGACUAGGAUACGGUAGAGGUGAGUGGAAUUCCGAGUGUAGCGGUGAAAUGCGUAGAUAUUCGGAGGAACACCAAUUGCGAAGGCAGCUCACUG